rnacentral:rRNA from 1 species
UUAUCUGAACCUUCGGGGAACGAUAACGGCGUCGAGCGGCGGACGGGUGAGUAAUGCCUAGGAAAUUGCCCUGAUGUGGGGGAUAACCAUUGGAAACGAUGGCUAAUACCGCAUGAUGCCUACGGGCCAAAGAGGGGGACCUUCGGGCCUCUCGCGUCAGGAUAUGCCUAGGUGGGAUUAGCUAGUUGGUGAGGUAAGGGCUCACCAAGGCGACGAUCCCUAGCUGGUCUGAGAGGAUGAUCAGCCACACUGGAACUGAGACACGGUCCAGACUCCUACGGGAGGCAGCAGUGGGGAAUAUUGCACAAUGGGCGCAAGCCUGAUGCAGCCAUGCCGCGUGUGUGAAGAAGGCCUUCGGGUUGUAAAGCACUUUCAGUCGUGAGGAAGGUAGUGUAGUUAAUAGCUGCAUUAUUUGACGUUAGCGACAGAAGAAGCACCGGCUAACUCCGUGCCAGCAGCCGCGGUAAUACGGAGGGUGCGAGCGUUAAUCGGAAUUACUGGGCGUAAAGCGCAUGCAGGUGGUUUGUUAAGUCAGAUGUGAAAGCCCGGGGCUCAACCUCGGAAUAGCAUUUGAAACUGGCAGACUAGAGUACUGUAGAGGGGGGUAGAAUUUCAGGUGUAGCGGUGAAAUGCGUAGAGAUCUGAAGGAAUACCGGUGGCGAAGGCGGCCCCCUGGACAGAUACUGACACUCAGAUGCGAAAGCGUGGGGAGCAAACAGGAUUAGAUACCCUGGUAGUCCACGCCGUAAACGAUGUCUACUUGGAGGUUGUGGCCUUGAGCCGUGGCUUUCGGAGCUAACGCGUUAAGUAGACCGCCUGGGGAGUACGGUCGCAAGAUUAAAACUCAAAUGAAUUGACGGGGGCCCGCACAAGCGGUGGAGCAUGUGGUUUAAUUCGAUGCAACGCGAAGAACCUUACCUACUCUUGACAUCCAGAGAACUUUCCAGAGAUGGAUUGGUGCCUUCGGGAACUCUGAGACAGGUGCUGCAUGGCUGUCGUCAGCUCGUGUUGUGAAAUGUUGGGUUAAGUCCCGCAACGAGCGCAACCCUUAUCCUUGUUUGCCAGCGAGUAAUGUCGGGAACUCCAGGGAGACUGCCGGUGAUAAACCGGAGGAAGGUGGGGACGACGUCAAGUCAUCAUGGCCCUUACGAGUAGGGCUACACACGUGCUACAAUGGCGCAUACAGAGGGCGGCCAACUUGCGAAAGUGAGCGAAUCCCAAAAAGUGCGUCGUAGUCCGGAUUGGAGUCUGCAACUCGACUCCAUGAAGUCGGAAUCGCUAGUAAUCGUGGAUCAGAAUGCCACGGUGAAUACGUUCCCGGGCCUUGUACACACCGCCCGUCACACCAUGGGAGUGGGCUGCAAAAGAAGUAGGUAGUUU